rnacentral:rRNA from 1 species
AGCGAACGCUGGCGGCAGGCCUAACACAUGCAAGUCGAGCGGGCACUUUCGGGUGUCAGCGGCGGACGGGUGAGUAACGCGUGGGAACGUGCCCUCUGGUUCGGAAUAACUCAGGGAAACUUGAGCUAAUACCGGAUACGCUCUUUUGGGGUAAGGCUUGCUGCCGGAGGAUCGACACGCGUCUGAUUAGCUAGUUGGUGAGGUAACGGCUCACCAAGGUGACAAUCAGUAGCUGGUCUGAGAGGAUGAUCAGCCACACUGGGGCUGAGACGCGGCCCAGACUCCUACGGGAAGCAGCAGUGGGGAAUAUUGGACAAUGGGCGCAAGCCUGAUCCAGCCAUGCCGCGUGAGUGAUCAAGGCCUUAGAGUUGUUAAGCUCUUUUAUCCGGGACGAUAAUGACGGUACCGGAGGAAUAAGCCCCGGCUAACUUCGUG